rnacentral:misc_RNA from 1 species
CACCAAUCAAGCCUGGCUUGGUAUUGGGGCCCGCCUUACGGCGGCCUCUAAACUCAGUGGCGGUGCCGUUAGGCUCUCAGCGUAGUAAUUAUUCUCGCUACAGGGUCUUGCGGUUACUUGCCAUAACCCCAACUUCUUAAGG